rnacentral:rRNA from 1 species
UACGGAGGGUGCAAGCGUUAUCCGGAUUCACUGGGUUUAAAGGGUGCGUAGGUGGGUUGGUAAGUCAGUGGUGAAAUCUCCGUGCUUAACAUGGAAACUGCCAUUGAUACUACUGAUCUUGAAUUUUCAGGAGGUAAGCGGAAUAUGUCAUGUAGCGGUGAAAUGACUUAGAUAUGACAUAGAACACCAAUUGCGAAGGCAGCUUACUACAGGAAUAUUGACACUGAUGCACGAAAGCGUGGGGAUCAAACAGG